CUUCGGGGGACAGAGUGACAGGUGGUGCAUGGUUGUCGUCAGCUCGUGUCGUGAGAUGUUGGGUUAAGUCCCGCAACGAGCGCAACCCUUGAUCUUAGUUGCCAGCAUUUAGUUGGGCACUCUAAGGUGACUGCCGGUGACAAACCGGAGGAAGGUGGGGAUGACGUCAAAUCAUCAUGCCCCUUAUGACCUGGGCUACACACGUGCUACAAUGGAUGGUACAAAGGGCUGCAAGACCGCGAGGUCAAGCCAAUCCCAUAAAACCAUUCUCAGUUCGGAUUGUAGGCUGCAACUCGCCUACAUGAAGCUGGAAUCGCUAGUAAUCGCGGAUCAGCAUGCCGCGGUGAAUACGUUCCCGGGCCUUGUACACACCGCCCGUCACACCACGAGAGUUUGUAACACCCGAAGUCGGUGGAGUAAC
rnacentral:rRNA from 1 species